rnacentral:misc_RNA from 1 species
GGAACUUGGUACUGUAUGAUGAAGACAUAUUUAUGAAGGACUGGAUUUCACAGCGUCCGGAUGAAGCUUUUGGCAACUCACCAAUGGCUAGUGCCUCAGUUGGUGGUUUAUAUUCCACGCCAAAUGUACAGUCUUUUUGGUCUUUUGAAUAAAUAAAGAAAAAGGGAAAAAUUGGGGAUAGAGUACAAGGAACUCGAAUACACCCUCUUGUUACUGAAGAGAAAGUAGCCUCUUUUGGGGAGGAGAGUUUAGAAUGCUGCACUUGUUGCAUCUUCCUUCUUUUCUUUUGAAAGGAAGAGUUACAUUAGCAUGAUAGGGAUACAUGUUUCGACACAUGGCUCUUAAUCAGGUGACAAUUAAUUAUGAUACGGCUGAGUACUUCUCUUUUCAUCUUUUUGACAGAGAAGGACAAACACUGAUAUAGAUGACCAUAGC